rnacentral:lncRNA from 1 species
AUGUCUACCUUCUAGAUUCACUAUACACAACUAUAUACACAUCCACGAUUUGUGUGGAAAAAGAAAUAUUAAAAAUUUAUGUAACAAGUAAUUGAAAUUUUAGUUGAAACCGUUAAGUUGAAGAUCUAAUUAUCAUAAUAUUUUAAGUUCAAGUUUUACUAUAUGUAUUUUUGUGUUUAUGUCAUUUUAUAUAAAAAUAUAAAAAGACAACACACUCUGUAAUAAUAUAAUUUAUUUUGUAUAUAAAAAAAAUUUUAGUUAUUUUUUAAUUGAGUUAGUGUUUAGCUGACUUGUAAUAUGAAUGUAAGUAUAAUAUAUAUAUAUAUAUAUAUAUAAACACAAAUAAUACUAUUGUUUUGUGAAAUUGGAUUAAUCAGGCUGUGGAAGAUGCCCUCGUCAAGGUGUUUGACAUAAAACGGGAGGAGGCCUUGCAAGUAGCAUAAAAGUAUGUAUGUAUAUAUGUAUGUAGGUUUACACAGGUGGGUCAGCCAUUGGUGC